GCGGCUUUAGCUCACUUGGGAGAGCGCCAGACUGAAGUUCACUUCGGCCCAUUAAAUCUGGAGGCACUGUGUUCGAUCCACAGAAGCCGCA